GGAGGGGUCGGACGAGGAGGUGUCGAAGAGGACGUCGCCGGAGGAGCGGCGGGAGACGGAGAAGGAGAAGGGGGUGGUGUCGCUGAGGACGAAGACGAGGUCGGAGGAGGCCAAGGAGAUGCGGCGGCGGGACGGCGGCGGGGCUAGGGUUUGCUCGGGGAGAGAGCGGUGGGGAGAGGAGGGAGAUCGGCGAGGGAUGAUGUCGGCGGGGACUUCCCAUCGGAGGUUGUUGGCGUCUGUGAUCCGGA